rnacentral:lncRNA from 1 species
GAAGGUUAGCAUUUAAAGGUACCUUUCAGUUUGUGGCUUUUCAAAGGGAGACCCUGAGCCGGCAAGGACCAUGCCCAAAGACACCCACGGAGCUCACAGGGCAGCUGGAAAGCAAGCCAGAGGCCCAGGCAGGGCUUUUCCUAGAGACCUGUGAUCAUCUUGCUCUUUUCUCUGUGGAACAAAGGCCAAAAUUGCUGCCCUGUGGUGAAUCUGACCCAGGACCUGCUAUAUCCCUUUGCUGUAGGAGCAGCACUGGGUGCACCGUGAAAGCCUCUGUGAGAGUGAAAACACUGGGCCAGCAGAAAAACCAUGGCAGUCUUCCGGGGCUGAGAGCGCGCAGGACGGAAACGUCUGUACUUCUGCUUGCAAAGCAUCGACUCUUCAGCAUCCAGGCAAAGUCACCCUUCAUCAUCACUUCAGGGGAGUUUUCUUUGUGCCCCAAUGGGACAAAUGCCUCAGGAGGACAAUGA